AUCAAUUACUUUUCUGAGCACAGGAAUAACAGGCUUAAUCCUGCUCCACUGGAUUUCUCUACAUAAAAAUGACAAGAACUAAGAUGAUGAAGAUGAUAAUGGGCAGUUGCUUUUUUUUUAGUUUCCUUACAGCAACUCAAGGUUUUAUUCAAAUAUUUCAAGAAAAUUUCCAGAAUUCUCUU
rnacentral:lncRNA from 1 species